AUUUAUUUCCCUUGAUACUCAUGAGUUUGAAUAGUUACUCCCGCUCGAUUCAAAAAGCCAAACUUUCAAUUUCAUUUACAAAGGAUGAUGAAGGAAAGAGUGAAUAUGCGAGGGAAUGGUUUGAUGAUUGAAUUUGAAGUUAAAAUUUUGUCCUCUGAAGAAAGUUCGUGGACAGAGACACAGACUCCAAUGGCAAUUAUUGUCUGCGCUUCGGCGGAAGAAGGGAAAAUGAAGGGAAAAGGAGAGAAAGAACUCAGAUCAUGGAAAUGGUCCGCGGGAAGGAAGAACCAAAUCCAAG
rnacentral:misc_RNA from 1 species